rnacentral:misc_RNA from 1 species
GAUGAAGAACGUAGUGAAAUGCGAUAAGUAAUGUGAAUUGCAGAAUUCAGUGAAUCAUCGAAUCUUUGAACGCACAUUGCGCCCGCCAGUAUUCUGGCGGGCAUGCCUGUUCGAGCGUCAUUUCAACCAUCAAGCCCUGCUUGCGUUGGGGUCCUGCGGCUGCCCGCAGGCCCUGAAAACCAGUGGCGGGCUCGCUAGUCACACCGAGCGCAGUAAUACAUCUCGCUUUGGGCGUGCGGCGGGUUCUUGCCGUUAAACACCCCCUUUUUACCAAGGUUGACCUCGGAUCAGGUAGGAAUACCCGCUGAACUUAAGCAUAUCAAUAAGGGGAGGA